rnacentral:rRNA from 1 species
CACGUAGGCACCAAGCGUUGUCCGGAUUUAUUGGGCGUAAAGAGCUUGUAGGCGGUUCGGUAAGUCGGGUGUGAAACCUCUGGGCUCAACUCAGAGACGCCACCCGAUACUGCUGUGACUAGAGUGCGGUAGGGGAGCGGGGAAUUCCUGGUGUAGCGGUGAAAUGCGCAGAUAUCAGGAGGAACACCGGUGGCGAAGGCGCACAUCUGGCCCGAUACUGACGCUGAGGCGCGAAAGCUAGGGGAGCAAACGGG